ACCUGUCGCGGGUGGCAUCGAGAUGCCCCGCGACACAAGACAGAACACCGUGUCUCGGAACAUCGGGGCACUUCAGGGCGUU
rnacentral:sRNA from 1 species